CAUGGAGGGUGAGAAUCCCGUUUAUGGUCAGGUGUCCGCUUCUAUGUGAUGCGUUUUCCAAGAGUCGAGUUGUUUGGGAUUGCAGCUCAAAAUGGGAGGUAAAUUUCUCCUAAGGCUAAAUAUUGGCGAGAGACCGAUAGCGAACAAGUACCGUGAGGGAAAGAUGAAAAGAACUUUGAAAAGAGAGUUAAACAGUACGUGAAAUUGUUGAAAGGGAAACGAUUGAAGUCAGUCAUACCAACGGGAAAUCAACCUUUUGAGCUCGGUCUCGUGGGUUUUGAAGAGUUUCAAAGCCUUCGGAUUCGCGAGUUUGGGAUCUCUUGGUGUACUUUUUCGUACGGUUAGUCAACAUCGGUUUUGAAUGUCAUAAAAUGACUGGAGGAAUGUAGCUUCGAUCUCGUAUUGAAGUGUUAUAGCCUUUGGUAGAUGUGAUGUUUGAGACCGAGGAUUGCAACGGAUACCCUUCAGGGCUAUUCGUCUGAUCUCUGAUACGUUGCCUUGAUGUUGAAAGCUUGCUUAUGAUGUUAGGGUAUUACGGUCAAAAGGUUAGAACGAAUUACAUUCGUUAAGGAUGUUGACGUAAUGG
rnacentral:rRNA from 1 species